GAACUGAAGAGUUUGAUCAUGGCUCAGAUUGAACGCUGGCGGCAGGCCUAACACAUGCAAGUCGAGCGGCAGCACGGGUACUUGUACCUGGUGGCGAGCGGCGGACGGGUGAGUAAUGCCUAGGAAUCUGCCUGGUAGUGGGGGAUAACGCUCGGAAACGGACGCUAAUACCGCAUACGUCCUACGGGAGAAAGCAGGGGACCUUCGGGCCUUGCGCUAUC
rnacentral:rRNA from 1 species